GGUGGAUUUUUAACCACUGGACCACCAGGGAAGUCUCAAGUUGCAUUUGAUGGUGCAGUUUGAGAACCAAAACAAGAUCAGGGUGGCUUUAGAAGAAGAGUGGCACUAGAUGAGGCUGCAGAAGACAAUAGCAGGGGCUCUAUAGGCAAAGCCAUUAUUCAGCCAACAUACACUGUCAGGUGAACCAGCUGACAUCCUUUCUAACUGGGGUCAGUGCCUGUGCCUUACCAACUAUAAAAUAUCUUGACUUUCACUCCAGGUUAUAUGCCAAAUUAAGGAAUUUGGACUUUAUUGUGAGGGCUGCAAGAAACUACUGAACAUUUUUUAAAGCAGGGCUGCAGCAUGGCCCGAUUUGUAAUUUUGGAAAAUCUCUUAUAGCUGGAGACUGGGAAAAGGAUUAUGAGGUUGCUGAAAUCUUGCUGAGAGGAAUGACGGAGGUCUGAUGAGGGAGGUGAUGAAAAAAGAAAGCAGAUAGAUUGCAGGGAUGUUGAAGAGAUAGAAUCUGUAGGACAUAGUGAUUAAUUAGAUAUGUCAUGGACGAUGUUAAAAGGAUGUGUCAAAGAUGACUUCUAGGUAUCUGGUUCAGGAAACAGGAUGAAUGAGGAGUGCUAUUUUUGAGACGGGGAACAGAAAAGAAGGAACAGGUAGUGGGAAAAUAAUCAGUUUUUAUGGGUUUUUUUUUGGGGGGGGGGAGAUUGCUUCAAGAUACCUGUGAGACUUCUACAUGGAUUCAGACAUCAAAGAGGCAGUUGGAUAUUCAGAAUUGAAGCUGAAGAGAAAGCCCUGGACUGUAGAUAGGGAUCUUCAACAUAUAGGUGGCAAUUGAAGGAAAGGAUGAAGUCAUGCAGGAAAACUGCAAGCAUUGUGAAGAACAGCAGGUCUAGGAUGAAAUUCUGAAGAACGUUAAGAUUUACAGGAUGAACAGAAGAAGAGCCAGCAACAGGAGUCCAAGAAGUGACCAGAGAGACAGGAGGAAAACCUGGUAAGUGUGAAUCAUGGGGGGAGGCAGAUGCCAUACUGCGGUGAGUUGAAGAGGAAAGGUGAGGAAAUGGAGACUGCUGAGUCUCUUCUUACAAGAUAUAUGGCUAUCCAGGGAAGAAGAGACUCUUCUCUUCACUGUGGUUAGAGGUAGAAAUAGGGGAGUCUAAGAAGAUAUAGUGAAAUCCAGAUGCAAGGAUUAGCCUUCAGUGACAGAAAUGGAGGGAGAGAGUAUGGGUAAGGCAGGUGGGGUAUAGAGCUGGAGGAGAAAGGUUGAAGAAAUGCCUUUAUGAUGGAAGGCAUUAUGAUGCCAUUAUGAUGGAAUAGGCAACAAGCAAUCUCUGCCACACAGAGAAAAGAGACAUUUUUUUUUUUUUUGCAUUUUCUGCCCUUCUGGAUUAUGCUUAUCCCCUUUCUUUCAUUCAUUAGCACAAACAAUCAAGAAGCAGCUUUACUUAGAUUCGAUUACUGUUGUUCUAGACCAGUGGUUCUCAGCUGGGGGCAAUUUGUCCCCAGAGGAUAUCUAGCAGUACAGUAUUUGUGUUCCAGGCCUACAUCAGGGAAAUGCUGUGGAGGACACAGGAUACCUCCUCCUUUUUAAGAAUAUGUUCUUAAAGUCCUGUAACCGUGUGACCUUGGGCAAUUACUUUAACUCUUUAUGCCUUAUCAGCAAAAUGGGGACCCUAAUAGUUCCGAUCUCAUUGGGCUGGCCUGAGGAUUCAUGGAAAAUCCUUAGAACAUCACCUGGCAUGUAACACAUAGAAGCUGAGCCUCACUAAGACCAGACAUCAGACCUUUGUCCAGAUCCCAUCACUACCAUUCCUUCAAGCUGAUGAUGUCUUUAUCUGGCUGCUGUCAUUUCCCAGAGGUUUCACUGUGACCAGACAGCCCGUCGGGGACAGAAAGGUGGCCCAAAGGAAGUGGUUGCAUUGCCAACCCACUCAGGGAUGAUGGUCAGCUCCUGGACCCUCCAGAGCUUGGUGUUAGCUUCUGAAGAGUCAGAUCCACUUCAGAAGCCAGCACAGGAGUCAUUUGGGCAAACCUCUGCAGAGAAAAAUUAUGUGAUUCUGAGAUUUCCCUCUGCCACUCCUCAUGUCUCCCUCACUUUCCCUCGUUCGUCUCUUC